rnacentral:rRNA from 1 species
CUACGGGGGGCAGCAGUGGGGAAUAUUGGACAAUGGGGGAAACCCUGAUCCAGCAAUGCCGCGUGUGUGAAGAAGGCCUGCGGGUUGUAAAGCACUUUCGGUUGGGAGGACUGCUUCUAGCACUAAUAUUGUUGGAAGUUGACGUUACCUUCAGAAGAAGCACCGGCUAACUCCGUGCCAGCAGCCGCGGUAAUAGGGAGGGUGCAAGCGUUAAUCGGAAUUACUGGGCGUAAAGCGCGCGUAGGCGGCUAGAUCAGUCGGGUGUGAAAGCCCCGGGCUUAACCUGGGAACUGCAUCCGAUACUGUCUAGCUUGAGUACAGGAGAGGAGAGUGGAAUUCCACAUGUAGCGGUGAAAUGCGUAGAUAUAUGGAGGAACACCAAUGGCGAAGGCAGCUCUCUGGCCUGAUACUGACGCUGAGGUGCGAAAGCGUGGGGAGCAAACAGGAUUAGAUACCCCAGUAGUC